GUGAAUCAUCGAAUUUUUGAACGCAAAUUGCACUCCCUGGUAUUCCGGGGAGUAUGCCUGUUUGAGGGUGGUUAGAAUAAAAAAUCGAGGCGUCGUUCUUUUUUUUAAGGGGGAUCGUUUUGGAAUUGAGCGUUCUUUCAAAUGUAAUUUAUUGUAAAGGUGGUUUAAAAUUUUUCAAUACGGUAUGAUUAAAG
rnacentral:misc_RNA from 1 species